AAAUCUCCCGCGAACUGAGGAGGUUUGUGAAAGUCCCUCGGGACGCCUUCGGGCUUCGCCCUCAGGCUUUCCCUCGGGACUUUCACAAACCUCCCUCGCUUUGCGGGAGAUUUAAUCACUAUAUU